CAUCCUACGGGGGGCAGCAGUGAGGAAUAUUGGUCAAUGGUCGGGAGACUGAACCAGCCAAGCCGCGUGAGGGAUGAAGGUACAGAGUAUCGUAAACCUCUUUUGUCAGGGAACAAAGGCGGGGACGUGUCCCCGGAUGAGUGUACCUGAAGAAAAAGCAUCGGCUAACUCCGUGCCAGCAGCCGCGGUAAUACGGAGGAUGCGAGCGUUAUCCGGAUUUACUGGGUGUAAAGGGAGCGUAGACGGCUGUGCAAGUCAGAAGUGAAAGCCCGGGGCUCAACCCCGGGACUGCUUUUGAAACUGCG
rnacentral:rRNA from 1 species